rnacentral:rRNA from 1 species
AUUGAACGCUGGCGGCAUGCUUUACACAUGCAAGUCGAACGGUAACAGGCCGCAAGGUGCUGACGAGUGGCGAACGGGUGCGUAAUGCAUCGGAACGUGCCCAGUCGUGGGGGAUAACUACUCGAAAGAGUAGCUAAUACCGCAUACGAUCUAUGGCUGAAAGCGGGGGACCGUAAGGCCUCGCGCGAUUGGAGCGGCCGAUGUCAGAUUAGGUAGUUGGUGGGGUAAAGGCUCACCAAGCCAACGAUCUGUAGCUGGUCUGAGAGGACGACCAGCCACACUGGGACGGAGACACGGCCCAGACUCCUACGGGAGGCAGCAGUGGGGAAUUUUGGACAAUGGGCGCAAGCCUGAUCCAGCAAUGCCGCGUGCAGGAAGAAGGCCUUCGGGUUGUAAACUGCUUUUGUACGGAACGAAACGGCUCUGGUUAAUACCCGGGGCUAAUGACGGUACCGGAAGAAUAAGCACCGGCUAACUACGUG